CUGCCGGUAAUACUCCAUGGUGUUGUUGAGUGGCAUCACUUAACAACUAAAGUACAAGCGCCCUUGGAUCGGUGUGCGUUCGAUUAGCUAGUUGGCGGGGUAACGGCCCACCAAGGCUUCGAUCGAUAGGGGGUGUGAGAGCAUGACCCCCCACACGGGUACUGAGACACGGACCCGACUCCUACGGGAGGCAGCAGUAAGAAAUAUUGGACAAUGGGCGGAAGCCUGAUCCAGCCAUGCCGCGUGAAGGACGAAGGCGCUCAGCGUUGUAAACUUCUUUUGGAUGGGAACAAUAACUCCGACUUGUCGGAACUUGAGGGUACCAUCAGAAUAAGCACCGGCUAACUCCGUG
rnacentral:rRNA from 1 species